UUACAGGUGCUGCUCGGGGGCUCUCUUUUCUGCACGGCUCUGAAUCACAAGUUAUAUACCGUGAUUUUAAAGCUUCUAACAUCCUGCUAGAUUCAGAAUUUAAUGCAAAACUUUCAGAUUUUGGAUUGGCAAAAGCUGGCCCCACUGGGGACCAGACUCAUGUAUCUACUCAAGUCGUGGGUACUCAUGGCUAUACUGCCCCCGAAUAUGUUUCUACAGG